CGAUGCCGUAUCCUGCCGCCCGUUUUACCCGCGGGAAAGCCGAGGCCCGGUGCUGUAUUCUGCCGCCCAUUUUACCCGCGGGGAAGCUGAGGCCCAGUGCUGUUUAAUAUCUUACUCAUGUUCACUUGAUGAGAAAGUGACAGAUCUGAGACAAACCCAGGUCUAGAGGUUAUGACACCAGCCAUGGAAGAGCAGAGAGGCCAAUGAGGUGGGGAGGUUGGAAACAAAAGGCCUUCUCCACCCCAGCUUGACCAACCCAAAAGCUGGAAGGCAAGGAAGACCUAGGGACUGGACAACAGUGUGUCAUAGGCCUGGAAUCUGAGGAAAGGGGGAGAAAUGCAAAAAGGUGCAAAAAAGGUGCAAAAAGGGCCACUAGACUUGACCAGCCUCACCGUUUUCACAGAAACUAGACUGAACAAAAAGAAAGUGCUCACUGGCCUGAUAGAAGACACGCACUGUUAUCAUCAAUAAGAAUGGACUUAUGUAUUGCUAAUGUUUACUAUGCAAUUAACAAUUUCCGUUGACUGUGUGAAGCAUCUUAAGUGCAUUUUAAAUUUGCUCCUCCCAAAAGGCAACUUGACCUCUGGGGAGAGGAGAAGAAAAAGGAACUAGCAGCAUUGAUUGCCUAUGUUUCCUGAAGUGUGGUGUCAUGGCAUAAAAUGACAUUGAAUCACAGGGUAGGACACUCACUCAGCUCAAAAAUCAAUGUAAAUCAAAAGGUCGACAGAAAAGAAAUGAGUCAACGAUGGUGCAGGUGAUCUGUGCAGUGCUGUGCAGGGGAUGGGUCAAAGCUGUGAUGCUGGCAUGCAACUAACUCACCAUUGAAGGGACCAGCUUGACGAAGCUUCUGCUUUUGUGACUGUCUCCUAAUGGAGAAACCAGAGCACCUCAGAAGAUCAAGGCUUCCAAAUUCUCCUGGGGGAACAGACGUCAGCCAUUCAGCACAAAGGAAACUUCCUUCUCUGUAUGUCAGAGGAAGACAUAAUUGUGCCAUUUCCUUCUUGAAGAAGUUUACAAACAUUUGCAAGUUGUCAAAAAUAAUUAGUCUAAAAUUGUUUCAUAAACCGUGGAAUGAAACAGGACGUGCCUUGUUGAGAUCAAAGGGCUUCUGUUACCUUCUUGUAAACUCAAAUGAAAUUCUUUUGAAAGUAAACCAGAAUUUAAGAGACACCAGAGGAUGGCACAUUUAUACUGAGCUUGCAGUUUCCUAAACAUGAAGAAGAUGAACGGCUCUCAGUUAAGCAGCACGGGUCAGAUAGGAGCUUGAAAUUGAAUAUUUGAGCUGACACGGGAGAGACAUACUGUUGAGAUUCCAAAUACGAUUUCUGUGGAGAAAACAAAAAAGGACUCUGUUUUUAAUUCAAAAGGGAGAAGUGAAAUUCUACCUCACUUUUUUAAAAGAAGAGCCUGGAAUUGGCCUAUCCGUCUUUUUCCCCGUUGGAUCACAGAGCAGAAAGGAAGGUGGGCGUUUGUGUUCUGGGUGUUGUCCACGCUGGACGUGCCAGCAUCUCCCACUGAGCCAGAUGUUCCAGGGCUAAGGCCAGUUUCAUUUGAAGGCACAGCCUUACUAUAUCAUGUUAAUCUGAUGCCAAGUUUUUGGAUGUUAUGAGCAACCACCUCAUUUAUUUUUUGUGGUUGUUUAACCACAAUGAGUAAGGAACGAGGACACUGGGGAGGCCCUUCCAAUGCAGGGAUGCUCCCAGGCUCUCCCGCAGUUUAAAGACUUAACUCAGCGGCUUUCAGGGCCUGUGGUUGAGGGACUCCGAAAGAACUGUUGCUGGUGGACCGGUUCAGGGUCUUGACUUCGCCACACAAAAGAACUUGAGAGCACGUCCAAAGUAAAGGUAAGACCUCUAGUACAGUGUUCAAUGGAACUGGUGAGAAAAGACGUCCUUGCUGUGUUCCUGAUAUGAAGAGGAAAGCAGUCCUUCUCCAUUAAGUAAAGUGCUGACAACAUGAGCCUCCCGUGGUCGGAACGGGCUUGUGAAGGCGGUGCUGGGGUGCACCAGGGCAGCAGCUACAGGUUACAGGAUCUUCUUUCUAACAUGCCGUGAGGGCCCAGAGACUGUGUCACUGUUGUGAUGAUAGAGUGCAGGGCCCUUCAAAGGGAGGUCUGUGGGCCAGCAGCACCCAAGGGCUCUCCUCCCAAGCACCCAACGAGCAAGAUGGGUCUGAGGAUACCUGUGAGAAGUAAUUCAACACAUCUUUCACACAUGGGCCAAUUUGCUGGUCUAAGUUAAAUUGGAGUGACAAGGACAGCUGCUUAAAGAGGACGAGGUUUCACCGUGUUAGACAGGAUGGUUUCGAUCUCCUGACCUCGUGAUCUGCGUGCCUCGACCUCCCAAAGUGCUGGGAUUACAGGCUUGAGCCGCCACGUCCGGCCUCAGACCAUUUUUCUAGAGAUGGAAGCUACAGAUGACAGAGCCGAGGUCGUCUCCUCCAGGUCCCAGAGCUGCUAUGUGGCUGAGCUGCAGUUCAGAGCCAGGGUGACUCAGCUUGCAAGCCUGUGCUCCUCACCUCCGUGGCAUGCUUCUCCCAGGCUGGCACUGAAUCACCGGAAGGACUCCUUAAGACAUGGAUAGGGGAUCCACCCCAGAGGUCCUGAAUCAGCAAGUCUGGGGAGGAGACUGAGAAUUGACUUUUCUAUCAAGUUCCCCAGUGAUGCUGAUGCUGCUGGUGUGCGUACCACGUUCUGGAACCUCCGCUCCCUGCUCUAGGGCCUUCUGGGUGGAGCCCUAGAGCUGAGCUCCCAGCUGUGGGCAUGGCAGGCACUGAAGAGUGUUGCUUUAGGGUAAUGUGUUAACAGUCUAAGAAGGUGCGUGGUGAGUAGGCUGACCAUUUCUCUCUCUUAUUGAACAAAAUAUUGCUAAGCCCUGGAUUUUCUCAGCUGUAAAUCACUGAAAUCUGAAUAAAAUUACAACUCAAAUCCCAGGAACACAGGAUUGCAGUGACCUACAUAAUUUGGGCUCAAAUACCUUCAAGGCAUUCCGAAGAGACAGAGAACACCAGAACAAGGGAGAAUUGGAGUGGAGGUGGAUGCUGAAAUUCCAGUAUAAAAAUCUACUCUGGCUGAGGAAUAAGACAAAAUGAGAAAUGCAAUAUAGUCGCUACUCAGGAAUUUUGACUGAGGUUGGACAUUGUUUAGAAAUGGGAACAAGUUUGAAGGAUAGGAUGGAGGGAAGGAAAAUAUUUUUUAUUGUCAAGCCUGAGACACCUGAAGCCCUGGACUUGGAAUCUGAAGCUGUCAUCAGCCAGUACACCUAUGAACCUGUGGAAGACCUGAAGUACCUGUUUAAAAGACAGCCAAAAGAUAAGUAAAUACUUCCCAAAUUUCCCCCUGCUGAAAGGGUUGACAAUGAAGACUCUCAGGCCACCGUAACUCAUGGAGAAGCCCUGAGCAUCUGGCCCGCUUGAUGCACCAGCUGGAGUCGACAUUAAAGGGCCCCAUUUCCCAUUUGCUGCAGAAGAUGUUUAAUUGGAAGUCUCUCCCUGUCCUUUUGCCCUCUGGUGCUGGGCACCAAUGAGAAGCUCAUCUGGCCCCGGGAUCCUGGCAGGACACUGGGAGCACUAUUUCCAUGGGCAGCAGGGUUGUUCCUGGAGACAUCACUGACCCAGGACACCUAGCACAAUGGCACUCGAUGUGAAAGUGGCUUCGUACAAAUCUGCCACUCAAGCCUAAAUAAGUGCAUUCCAGAAGAGCCGCAGCCCCUCUAACAGCUCCUGAGGUGAGGGAAACCCUAGGGAUGGGAAGUUGGAGCAGAAAGAGAUGGUGGCCUGAAGUCAACUGCAGUGAAAAUCUCUCCCCAUCAGCAAGUUUUGCAAAGCUAUGGCCACAGGGACACAUGACUGGGGCCCCUCCUAGUCUUGGAAGGAGCCCCCAUGGAAAUGAGGGCCUCACAGUGAAUCCACCUCUGAUCCUACUUCACCUGCAGUCAAAUGAGAAGAGAUUUCAAUCAGCUAAAGACACCCUAUCCCCUCUCCCCGACCCCUGCGACCCCAGGAGCUCCUGCCUUGUCACUGUGUCCCCAAACGAACCGCAUCUGAAUCAAGCCCCUUUCUCUCCCUAGUGGUCAACAUCUGGGCUGUGAUGGGCAGCUCCCACUCUUGCCUUAGAAUAUGACUGGAGAGGUGACUUCUCAUCACAUGGAGAAUAUGUUCACCCCAUGGUGCUUUCCACCCAAGCUGACCAUGGCUUGACUUUUUGGUGUAGUUGCUAGCUCUGUGCCAUCCUUGGCAAUGUGACCCUGGAGCAGCUGUCCCCAGUGUGCAUUUGGGGGAUUUCAUGUAAUUAUGAAUAGGAUGCAAAUUUUAUAGCCCCAGUGAAGGGAAACACCCCUGGCGAGGCUUCCCGGGGCCAGAGAGAGGACUCCACUGAGGGAGAUGGUGGCAGGGCCAUUCUUUGUGUCCUGCUUUUUUUUUUUUUUUUUUUUUUAACAUCCUCUUUAUGUCCUGAGAGCCAUGUGCAGAUGAGGAAAAAUGACAUGCAAUGCAUUUUUGCCUGCCACAAUGACUUUGCAAUCAUAACAAGCAAAAUGUUCUAAACAGUAAGUGAAUCGAGGAAGAUAUACUGCCAAGUCAGGAAGAAAAAAUCCACCUGUUCAGUGAUUUCAGGAACUGCUGAAGAAAAUCACCAGUGAGUAUCAGUUUCUGCAAGAGAAUCUAAUGCAGGCUUUGCUUCUCAUCGGAAUCCCCCAGCUGGUGUCUUGGUUGACUGAGAGUCUGGGGGAGAGGGCAGAGAAUGGAUUUAUUCUCUGCUAGGUUUUUAACAGUCAAGAAGGGCUGUGGUCCUAAGGGGCACUGGUCAAACCUUAGUGUGCAUCAGAAUUAUCUGGAUAAGGCUAGGCACAGUGGCUCACGCCUGUAAUCACAGCACUUUGGGAGGCUGAGGCGCGUGGAUCACCUGAGGUCAGAAGUUCAAGACCAGCCUGGCUCUUUUAGUAGAGAAACCCUAUGUCUAUUAAAAAGUACAAAAUUUAGCCAGGUGUGGUGGUGAGUGCCUGUAAUCCCAGCUACUUGGGAGGCUGAGGCAGGACAGUCACUUGAAUCUAGGAGGCAGAGGUUGCAGUGAACUGAGAUCGUGCCAUUGUGCUCCAGCCUGGGCAACAAGAGUGAAACUCUAUCUCAGUAAAUUCUGCUAUGUCUCCUCCAGCCCUGACCAAACUUCAAAUAUGAGGAAAAUAAACAUUGUCAUAUAUCAACCGGCCAGUUCCCAGCAAUUCCUGCCUGCGUGCCCAUGCAAGGGGAGGUCUGGUGCUGCCUCCUGUAGUAACUACCUGUGGAGCCAGCUGAACUCAUUUUCCCCUGAACUUCAGAAAGUGCCAGAAUCACCCCAGAGCACUUGAGUACUUGCCCUGUGAAGACAGCAAGGAAAUGGGAGAGGAUUUGAAGGAUUUGCUUAAGAGCGGCUUUGAAGUCCUCCAACAGGGUGAGAGAGCCAGCUCAGCACAGACCCAGCCUAGAGAAGGAGCAUUUUUCUAGUGGGCUCAUCUUUAAUUUGCAACUAUGGCACAAAGGAAGGAGCAGCUGUGGAGACCAGGGCAUUGGUGAAAUGAAAGCAUAUUGUUUCCCUCCAUCUUCCCCACCCUGGGGAGGCCAGGGUUUCUCCAAGGCAGACACUCUCUAAGUGAAAUCUAUGGAAUUUUGGAAACAAGAUAAAAGACAUACUCGACUGCAAUGCACAUACUCACCGUGGAGCCCGGCACGCAGGGUAAAGACUCGCUGGGUUUGCAUUGCACAUUCUCACUGAGGAGCCCGGCACGCAGGGUUCAGACUCGCUGGUUUUGGGUUGGUGGACUUCAUUUUCUUUCACGCUGCUGCUUGCCCAGUGGGUGUAGACGAUGACAGAAGAGACAUCCAGGAGUAGAUUUCAAUGCACAGCAGCAGCUGAGAGAAGCCAGCUGUGAAAAAG
rnacentral:lncRNA from 1 species